ensembl:lncRNA Novel transcript, antisense to HRH1
AAUUACAACCCUUAUAAAGCUGGGUUGUGGUCGGGUGCGGUGGCUCAUGCCUGUAAUCCCAGCACUUGGGAGACUGAGGCAUGUGAGUCGCCUGAACCCGGGAGGCAGAGGUUGAAGUGAGCCGAGAUCGUGCCACUGCACUCCAGCCUGGGCGACAGAGCGAGACUCCGUCUCAAAAUAGAGACGGGGUUUCACCGUGUUAGCCAGGAUCGUCUGGAUCUCCUGACCUCGUGAUCCACCCGCCUUGGCCUCCCAAAGUGCUAGGAUUACAGGCGUGGGACACCGUGCCCAGCCCAGGUCAGCCUGUUUCUAGGACCCAUCACUCUGAACCUCUAGUAACAAGAGGAUUCAGAAUCUGAGAGAUACUGCUUAAAAGGAAAAUGUCCUGGAGGGAUGCCAAACUGCACUCUCAAAGGUUUCGGCUGGAUGUGUGAUAUUGAUGGGGAAACCCAUUUCAGUGUCUCUAAGAAGGGGGUAGUGCUCCUCUUUCCAGGAUGUCUCUGGGGAAUCUAGAGCACCCCAAAGUGUGGUAUGCAUAGAAACAUUGCUGCUUAAGGUCUGAAUAUUUGUUCCUCAUCAAUUCAUGUGUUGAAAUUCUAACCUCUCCUGAAUGGGAUUAGUGCUCUUACACGAGAGGCCUGACAGAGACUCCUCACCCUUCCCACCAUGCGAAGACACAGUGAGAAGGCUCAGUCUAUGAACCAAAAUGUUGACUGUCACCAUUUACUCAAUCUGCUGUCGCCUUGAGCUUGGACUUCCCAGCCUCCAGAACUGUGAGAAAUAAAUUUCUGUUGCUUAUAAGACAACCAGUUUAUGACAUUUCGUUAUAGCAGCCUGAAUGGACUAAGACACCCUUCCCACCAUGUGAAGACAGAGUGAGAAGGUUCGGUCUAUGAACCAAAAACUGACCCUCACCAGUCAUUGAAUCUGCUGGUGCCUUGAUCUUGGACUUCCCAGCCUCCAGAACUGUGAGAAAUAAAUUUCUGUCGUUUAUAA